rnacentral:rRNA from 1 species
GGGGGGGAAGAACCAACAGGGAUUGCCCCAGUAACGGCGAGUGAAGCGGCAACAGCUCAAAUUUGAAAUCUGGCCCUCGGGUCCGAGUUGUAAUUUGUAGAGGAUGCUUUUGGCGAGGUGCCUUCCGAGUUCCCUGGAACGGGACGCCACAGAGGGUGAGAGCCCCGUAUGGUCGGACACCGAGCCUCUGUAAAGCUCCUUCGACGAGUCGAGUAGUUUGGGAAUGCUGCUCAAAAUGGGAGGUAUAUGUCUUCUAAAGCUAAAUAUUGGCCAGAGACCGAUAGCGCACAAGUAGAGUGAUCGAAAGAUGAAAAGCACUUUGAAAAGAGGGUUAAAAAGUACGUGAAAUUGUUGAAAGGGAAGCGCCUAUGACCAGACUUGGGCCCGGUGAAUCAUCCAGCGUUCUCGCUGGUGCACUUUGCCGGGCACAGGCCAGCAUCAGUUUGGCGCGGGGGAAAAAGGCUUCGGGAAUGUGGCUCCCUCGGGAGUGUUAUAGCCCGCUGCGUAAUACCCUGCGCCGGACUGAGGUACGCGCAUUGCAAGGAUGCUGGCGUAAUGGUCAUCAGCGACCCGUCUUGAAACACGGACCAAGGAGUCGUCUUCGUAUGCGAGUGUUCGGGUGUCAAACCCCUACGCGUAAUGAAAGUGAACGCAGGUGAGAGCUUCGGCGCAUCACCGACCGAUCCUGAUGUUCUCGGAUGGAUUUGAGUAAGAGCAUACGGGGCCGGACCCGAAAGAAGGUGAACUAUGCCUGUAUAGGGUGAAGCCAGAGGAAACUCUGGUGGAGGCUCGCAGCGGUUCUGACGUGCGAAUCGAUCGUCAAAUAUGGGCAUGGGGGCGAAAGACUAAUCGAACCUUCUAGUAGCUGGUUUCCGCGUUUUUUCUCUCUCCUCGAAGAGA